AGCGAACGCUGGCGGCAGGCCUAACACAUGCAAGUCGAACGAACCCUUCGGGGUUAGUGGCGGACGGGUGAGUAACACGUGGGAACGUGCCUUUAGGUUCGGAAUAACUCAGGGAAACUUGUGCUAAUACCGAAUGUGCCCUUCGGGGAAAGAUUUAUCGCCUUUAGAGCGGCCCGCGUCUGAUUAGCUAGUUGGUGAGGUAAUGGCCCACCAAGGCUACGAUCAGUAGCUGGUCUGAGAGGAUGACCAGCCACAUUGGGACUGAGACACGGCCCAAACUCCUACGGGAGGCAGCGGUGGGGAAUCUUGCGCAAUGGGCGAAAGCCUGACGCAGCCAUGCCGCGUGGAUGAUGAAGGUCUUAGGAUUGUAAAAUCCUUUCACCGGUGAAGAUAAUGACUGUAGCCGGAGAAGAUGCCCCGGCUAACUUCGUGCCAGCCGCCGCAGUAAGAC
rnacentral:rRNA from 1 species